rnacentral:rRNA from 1 species
UACAGAGACCUCAAGCGUUAUCCGGAAUUACUGGGCGUAAAGGGCAUGUAGCCGGUCCGUAUAGUCUAUCGUUAAAUCUCAUGGCUCAACUGUGAGGCUGCGGUGGAAACGUGCGGUCUGGAGCGAGUCAGAGGCAUACGGAACGUGUGGUGUAGCGGUGAAAUGCGUUGAUAUCACACGGAACACCAAAAGCGAAGGCAGUAUGCUGGGGCUCUGCUGACGGUCAACUGCGAAAGCGUGGGGAUCAAAAAGG